rnacentral:rRNA from 1 species
GACGAACGCUAGCGGCGUGCUUAACACAUGCAAGUCGAACUAAGUGGCGAACGGGUGAGUAACUCGUAAUCAACCUGCCCUUCAGAGGGGGACAACAGUUGGAAACGACUGCUAAUACCGCAUACUGAAGGAGGGUAUUGCGUCUGUUUGGCUCGUUGGGGGGGUAACGGCCCACCAAGGCGAUAAUCGGUAGUCGGUCUGAGAGGAAGAACGGCAACAUUGGGACUGAGACAAGGCCCAGACUCCUACGGGAGGCAGCAGUGGGGAAUCUUCCGCAAUGGACGAAAGUCUGACGGAGCAACGCCGCGUGAGUGAUGACGGGCUUCGGGUUGUAAAGCGCUGUUAAUCGGGACGCGGUACCGGAAUAGACAGCCACGUCGAACUACGUGCCAGCCGCCGCGGUAAUAC